AUGAAUUGUUGUUAAAAAACAUGGACCUCUUUGCUUUUCAAAGUUUAAAAAUAAAUUUUCUCCUCAAGUAAGAUGAGUCUUGGUAACUAACUAGAAAAGAAUGUUUAAAGGAAGGGGCUGAGCAUUCAGGAAUGUCCAACACCAUCUGUUUCCCUGAGGCUGGCAUUGAUGGUUGACAAGCAAAGGAAGAAAGGAUGUUCUGCCUUAAUCAACUCUAAAAUACCCUCCCCAUUAUUAAUAACAAUUACAAUCACCAAUAUCUGUUAGGGCUGACUGUCCCAAGCUCUGUGCGUAGUGACAGCAACCCAACCAGGUAUUGCCUUUCAUCACAGGUUUUAAACAUGGACUCCAGAAAGCAAUUGCUAAUAUGGAGGAUGAAUUCCCUAAAACCCAAAGGAAGAUGCAUCAGCACAUUGGCAGCACUGGUACUCUUCAUGAAGACUGAUUUUUUUUCUAAACUGAUGCUAUACAUGAGAAUAAAAAGUUGAAGUCUGAAGUUCUUCAAAUUCAAUUCAACAAAUGUUGACUGGGUGCUGUAAAAGAAAAAUUG